UGCCUCUAAUUACAUUUCGAGGCAAGGAUAUAUGGUUGCCUCUAAAUGUAUGAGCUUUUAGAGGCAACACAUUGUGUUGCCUCAAAAAGGGGCUUUUAGAGGCAAACACUAAUUAGCGACGGAAUUAUUAGAGGCAUCCACUUUUUUGCUUCAAAAACCCAUUAGAGGCUAAAUCCCUAUUUUUAGAGGCAAUUAUGACUUGCCUCUGUAUCCGAUUUUUCUAGUAGUGUCACUAGGCUAAGAAGUAAGGUCUCCAGAAAUGAAUUCAGCAGCUUACAGAAGCUUAUCCAAAUAAAAGAAGCAAUUAUGGGAUCCCAAUAGAUUAGCAUUGGGAGAUUGAGAGAAAGAGAAGGCUACAGCAUUGCACAUAUCAAACUUGGAAACCAUCAUAUAAAUAGAAAAAAUAAUGUAAUUGUUCAGUAAGAUUCAAUGAAAAAUCUGAUGAAUAUGAGAGCUUCUUUCAAUCUUUGUACAUAAUGUAAGAGGAAACUGGGGUUGACCCAAGAGUGGUGGUUGCAAGGACAAACAAUCUCCUGGGUGAAGUUAUUGCUGCUGGGGAAAGGGAGAAAACGCAAGAGGAAACUGGGGUGAGGGACGUGUAGGGGUGGACACCACCGCCUCGGGGUGUAUGCAAGAUCAACACAGAUGUUGUAGUAUCAGUGGAAGGCAAGAUCGGUGUGGGGAUGGUGGUUAGGGAUGAAUUGGGAGACAUUUUAAUGUCUGCGGGACGAAGCUGGAAUGCACGAGUCACAGCCCUGCAGGCUGAAGCAGAAGCUAUAUGGUUUGGGUUACGAUAUGCCUAUGAUGCAGGAUUCAGAAACGUGCAGCUACAGUCCGACUAUUUGGUACUGGUUAAUCUGCUGCAGUCAAGAGCCAAGGAGAAAUCAAGGACGCAAGUCAUUGUGAAUGAUAUUUGUAAUUUUUGUAUGCUCUUUCUCAGCUUGUGUGUUGGGACUGUUUUUGUGAAUUUGGCUCAUAGUUGGGACUGUUUUUGUGAAUUUUGCCUAUAAAAUAAGUAUCACUUGAAGAAUCUGUUCAAGUCAUUAAACUAUCCACCUUUCAAAUGCAAUAACCCAAGGAACCUAAGAGCAAGAAGUAAAACAUCAUCUUAAGAGUCAAAUCAACUGACCUCCAAACCCAGCUCAGUAGCUUUCUUUGCGACCAAAGCAGCACCAAGCAUAACACUUGGGUUUGAUGUGUUUGUGCAACUAGUUAUAGCAGCUAUGACAACACUACCAUGUUUCAAUUCAGCAGGCUGGCCAUUAAAUUAAAACUUAACAGUUUUUUCCUGCUCGUCUUUGGAAAUAGCAAAUCCCUACAUGAUUGUAAUGUCGUUAGGAAAGAAUCAACACCAAAAGAGAGUCAAUGACAAUAAAUGCGAUUUGUGUAGGCCAGACUGGAAAAGUGAAAUGACACUACAAGAAAAACUCUCAUUCGCGACCAAACAUUACGACCAUAAGCGUUUCUCGUCGUAAAAAAUCAAUAUCAACGACGAGAUUUGGAAGUGGUCGCGAAUAGUUACAUUAGUUACGACCAGACAACAAUCUUGUUGUAAUUAUAAAUAUUCUCGUCGUAAAAACUACGGAGUAUGAAAAUUUUGCCAAAAGUAAAGCGUGAUUUUUCCCGGGUCUACAAUAAAAUCUGCGACGACCAAAAUUCUAAUUACGACAAGUAACUCGUCGUAAGAGAAAUUUAAUAAUUUAUUUUUAGAAAAAGCUCCAAUUACCCAAAGAACAAAUUAAAUAGAUAAAAAAAAAUAUCUGAAGUAACACAACAAAACCCCUCAUCUUCCCUCUCGUAUCUCCUUUUCUCUCUCCACCAAACAUGGCAGCCAAAUUAUUGCUACCCUAAUUCUCGCAGCUAAAGAGUGUGAAUUUCUCCCAAAAACCUCAAUUUCUUGCUCUAUUCGAAUAGAUCUGGUCAUAAUCUAUAGUUUCAAUUCUGAAUAUUGAGUCAGCGAUUCCAAUUUGCUUUUCAAUUGGCGAAUAAGAUAAGUCUGAAAUUGGCUCUCUUUCGAGGAUUCUGAACCGUUUUAGAGGUGAUUUUACAGUGACACAAUCUAAUGGCACUGCGAUAUUUGCAUGAUUGUUAUGGAUCUUCAAAGACUAGUAACUUGGGGGGAGGGGAACUGUACAAUUCCAGGGUCAUAUCCAGUGUCUCUUGACAGGUAGUUGAUGACUAUUAGAGCAUUAUAUUCAGCAUAUAUAUAAUUGUUCAAGGCUUAACAUGGACAAGGCUUAACAUGGAUAUUGGUUGUGUCCUCCAUCUAAUUGUAGCUUGUAAUACUUUUUGGCAUACUCUAAUUUUAGCUUGCAAAUGUAAUGGGGCGCAAGUGUUUUUGCAUUAGUAUCCUUUUGUUGGGUAACAUACUGUAAUCGACAUAUUAUUGUUAAUGAAAAUUACAAUGUUUGAGGUGAUUA